rnacentral:rRNA from 1 species
GACGAACGCUGGCGGCGUGCCUAAUACAUGCAAGUAGAACGCACAGUUUAUACCGUAGCUUGCUACACCAUAGACUGUGAGUUGCGAACGGGUGAGUAACGCGUAGGUAACCUGCCUGGUAGCGGGGGAUAACUAUUGGAAACGAUAGCUAAUACCGCAUAAUAUUAAUUAUUGCAUGAUAAUUAAUUUAAAGGUGCAAUUGCACCACUACCAGAUGGACCUGCGUUGUAUUAGCUAGUAGGUGAGGUAACGGCUCACCUAGGCGACGAUACAUAGCCGACCUGAGAGGGUGAUCGGCCACACUGGGACUGAGACACGGCCCCGACCCCUACGGGAGGCAGCAGUAGGGAAUCUUCGGCAAUGGACGAAAGUCUGACCGAGCAACGCCGCGUGAGUGAAGAAGGUUUUCGGAUCGUAAAGCUCUGUUGUAAGAGAAGAACGGGUAUGAGAGUGGAAAGUUCACACUGUGACGGUAUCUUACCAGAAAGGGACGGCUAACUACGUG